AUUGAUUUUUUGCAGAUUCUUCUCUGGAAGAGCUAGAAGACCAGAUUUAAUUCACCUCAAUCGGCAAGGUCUUAUUGUUAUGCAUAACGUACAACUCAAGGUUGUUGAUUCACGUUUAAAACAGUUAAAAAGAGAAAGAUUGUUGGACCAAAAACUAGGAAAAACAAGCUCCGCACGAAGGAAACCCAAAAAAAAUAAAAUUUCAUUAAUCAAUUACUUAAAUUAACUCCUACCAAAGCUGAUGAACAAGGCGGAUUCUACAUUUUUCGCAUUGUUUGCUGUAUAUUAAAUAGUUUUGCUACGGAUGAUCCUAUUAUUCCGUGUCCCAGAAAAAGGAAAGAAAGUAACUCAUCCGAAUACAAGCAUAAUAAGAUCAAACAAGCUCGUUUAAUGGGACGAUCAUACAUCAAUCACAAGGGAAAUGAAGUUCCACCAAAGCAUCCUAAGUUUACUUGCAGGUGCAAGAAAAGGUGUUUGGACAACUUUGGAGAGGCCAACUGUGUGGAUAUAUUUUCAAAAUUUUAUAACAUAAAAAGUAAAGAUGAACAAGAUCUUUAUAUUCAAGAUAUAGUAGAUGUCACGGAAGUUCAAAGAAGAGUGCCACACCAAAAGAAUGUUGAACAAUCAAUAGCUUCUCAUACCAUGUAAUUUUAGGCAAUGAGCGUGUACAGGUAUGUUGCAAUGCAUUUUUAUCCGUCCUGUGUAAUACUGAAAAACGAUUACGGUGAAUAAGAUAUCUUAAUAUUAUUGGAAAAACUCCUGAAGAUAAAAGAGGAAAAGGUAUUACUCACAGUAUUUCUCAAAACCUUCAUGAUCUAGUAAGUGAUCACAUACGAUCAUUUCCACUAAAGCAAUCACAUUACUCAGGGAAGAAAAUGUAUUACCUCGAUGCCAAUUUAAAUAUAAUGGCAAUGUGAGAGCUGUUUUGUGAAAAACAUCCUGAUGUAAAAGUGAGCAAUUCCUUUUACUGGAACUAUUUCUAAACAAAUUUUAACUUUCGCUUUGGCCGCCCACAAGUGGACACCAAUUAAUUUAAAGCAAAAUCAAUGAAGACUGCUGAGGACAAAUUGGUUCCGGUAGCUGACAAUGAAGAUAAGUCAGACGAGCUUUUUCUGUUGAGUCUUAAAAAAGAUAUGAAUAAAAUGAAUUCACGGCAGAAACGAACUUUCAAAAGAAGAAUUUUUAGUUUGAUUGAUGAAGUUCUAGAUGAUAGGAUUUCUAUCUUUUGCCCAACUGUUUCUUCCGAAAUUGUGAUAUGCUGUUAUUAGCGAGUUCAGGUACCUUUGGCACUGCCUCUUGGGGUAAUUCGGUCGCGUCACAUCCACUUCAACAGCAAUUUCAUUAAUACUGUUAUCAGCUGCUUCUUCUACAAGAGUUUGUUGUUGGUCAUAGCAAAUGCACGAUAUGUAUUCAAGCUCAUCACUACAGUCCUCACGAUCACUUAGUGUGCUGACUAAUAACAUUUCUCCGGGAAAUCCUGGCUAGGAGAACGAAGAUUACGUUUUUAAAACCUUGACCAAUGCAUUCGGCAUACAGUAAAUGCCAUUAUAGUCUUUUGAAUGAAAUAUUGUAUAACUUUAACAAAUAAAUACAUUUCAUCGAACUUACCUUAAUGUGAUUGUUAAUCUGUCGCCCACACCAAUUGCGGUUCUGUAGUUAGUAUCUUUUUUCAGCGGUAAAGGGGUUACUAAAUCCAGCAAAAAAUCAAAGCUAGCUUUGCUCAUCCUGUAAUAGUUGAAAAACUUUUCGGGAUAUUUUCCCAAUUUUUGUAAGGCAUGCCACUGGCUACUGUGUAUAUUGCUAGUAUUAUAUGGAUGCACACUAAACUGUCUAUGUAACUUUUUUCCAUUUUCUAAGCACAUAUAGAAUUACUGCCUCUUCCUCGGACGAAGACAUCGGUACAAGUGACUGGAAAACAUGUCAACUUGGGUUUCUUGUGUAUUUGCACGUGGUGUAAACCUUGAAGAAACUCCAGUUGACUGAGUUGAGUUGCUGUUGCGUUGCUAUCACCGGUUGCUUACGGUAUGUACUAGGCCUUAAAGAUACAUAUUAAUUAGGAUUAGUCUAUAUAU